AGCUAGUAGGUGGGGUAACGGCUCACCUAGGCGACGAUCCCUAGCUGGUCUGAGAGGAUGACCAGCCACACUGGAACUGAGACACGGUCCAGACUCCUACGGGAGGCAGCAGUGGGGAAUAUUGCACAAUGGGCGCAAGCCUGAUGCAGCCAUGCCGCGUGUGUGAAGAAGGCCUUCGGGUUGUAAAGCACUUUCAGCGGGGAGGAAGGCGGUGAGGUUAAUAACCUCACCGAUUGACGUUACCCGCAGAAGAAGCACCGGCUAACUCCGUGCCAGCAGCCGCGGUAAUACGGAGGGUGCAAGCGUUAAUCGGAAUUACUGGGCGUAAAGCGCACGCAGGCGGUCUGUCAAGUCGGAUGUGAAAUCCCCGGGCUCAACCUGGGACCUGCAUCUGAUACUGGCAAGCGUGAG
rnacentral:rRNA from 1 species